GAUGACGUAGACUCCGGUUUCUUUCCCUCCUACGUCCCAGCUCCGGACGCCAGGGAUCUACUUUUCCUCUUCAAGGGGUGGGCUGGAGCUGCAGCCUGAGUCCUGGAGAGCCGCUUGGCUCCGAAGAGGUCCCAGCUUAGUGGCAGCUGAAUCCUCUUGCAAGACAGCAAGUAAUCCUGCGAGUUCCACCAGACAUAUAUCCCAGAGGGGGCAAGUGUUCUCUAUGAUGUCACCUGGCAGCAAAGUGAUGAGUCAGGGAAAUUACCCCGGCUGCUGACUAGCUUGUCUCUGCUCAGCUCCAAUGGGCCUGGAUGCUUCACACCACAGUAAUGAAAUUAUCUCCCUAAACACACAAGCGUCCCAUCAGAUAAUCCAGGCGGUAAAGCUCUCAAACAUUUUUUUUUCAUUGAAAUAAAUGCAGCCUUAUUUAUUUGAAUUCUUUUGAUCAUUCAGAAAUCUUGCUGGGCAGUGGUGGCACACGCCUUUAAUCCUAGCACUUGGGAGGCAGAGGCAGGUGGAUUUCUGGGUUUGAGGCCAGCCUGGUCUACAGAGAGAGUUCCAGGACAGCCAGGACUACACAGAGAAACCCUGUCUUGGAAAAAAAAAAAAACAAAAACAAAAACAAAAACAAAAACAAAAACAAAAACCUGGAUGUCCAGUCUCCUUGGGACUAUUUUCAGGCUGGGUCUAAGUCAAUUGCCCAAGCUGACCUUGAACUUGGUGUGUGGCCCAUGUAAACCAUGAACUGAUGAUCCUUUGCCUCAGACUCCAAACUAGCAGCUUUUAGCAGCGUAGCCCACCAGGCUUCCUUUUGUUAACUUAUUUUCCAGUGCUUAGAAAGGAACCCAGAGCUUUGCACAAGCCCAGCAAGUGUUCAUCCUCUGUCUCCACUACUUGAAAUCAUGUUCAGAAGAGCUGAUUAAAAAAAAAAAAAAAAAAAAAAAAAAGAAACACUGACCGCUGUCACUGAAUUUCAAGGACCUAGAACAGCAGUUCUCAACCUUCCUACCGCUGCGACCCUCUAACACAGUUCCUCAUGUGGUGGUGACCCCCAACCAUAAAAUUAUUUUGUUGCUGCUUCAUAACUGUGAUUCUGCUACUGGUAUGAAUCAUAAUGUAAAUAUCCUAUAUUCAGGACAUCUGAUACAAGACCCCAAAGGGGUCACAUCCCACAUAUUGAGAACCUCUGAUCUAGAGGCACAUUUUGGAAGAGUUGCUAUAUGAAGCAACACCCACAAAUAGUUAAGCCUCUUACCCUCGGGUGUGAAGGCUGUUAAUAGGAGAACUUUGCAUAGACAAGACAAUGGAUCCUAUGCCCACUCCCAGCCUUGGAUGCAUGAUGUUUUCUAUUGCAGCUAUCGGGUUGCAGAGUAUCUAAAAAGAGCAGAACACCAUUCCCACCUGUUGUUCUGACAGCUUCAUGAACCUUCACAGGAUUCAUAAUCUCCCUGAACAAGUAAAUAUGGACACCGUCGGCUCCAGACUCAGUGAUCCUUGUUUCAAACACAAGUUUUAUGUUGAUGUCGACAGACAAAGGCAGAGAGUGUAAAAGCACAGAGACCACUGUAAGUCUCUUUUUUAAAAUUAAAUUAUUCCAAGUAAGUCUUGAGCAUUAGAAAUAAAACACAGAAUUGAAUAUUAUAGUUUGCUAAUAUUAACAGGACAGACAGAUAAUUGUUUCUGUAUUAUGUUUCUCUUCCUUGAUUUGGUUUAGCAGAGAUGUUUUGUAAGACCGUUUCACGCCAAACAGUAGCUGGGUGUGGUGGCACUCGGAGGCCACUUGGACAGGUCCUGUUGCUUCCAAGGCAGGAGCUUUAAUGAAGGAAUUCUCUCUCCAGCCAGCUCCAGAACUUUGAAUGUUUCUAUGGACUUUUUUCUUUCAGUGCUGAGGAUUGAGCACAGUGCCUUACGCUAGACAAAUAUUCUUUUAGGUCCCCCUCCUCCUAAUUAGAGUUUUCAACAAAAUUAAGAUAUGCAAAUACCAGAGCUAUCAAAAUUGCGAUUAUCAUGAUUCAUACUUUGGUUAUCAAAUUGAGGACUUCACUUAAUAUCGUUUUUAAAACAAUAGAAGCAUUAAACACAUUCUCAUCGUCAGUCAUCAGACGGAACUUGUUUUCCACCUGAGGGUGCAGCUCCCUUGUUUAUUUUCAGCAUCCCUGUAUGAGCUAAGGAACACUGAGAAAGCUGGUAACACUCCUUUGUGGAUGUGUCUGUGAGGGGUUUCUGGGAAAAAUGAAGGUUAGAACCAGUAGACUAUGCAGAGAGGCCCCCUCACCCACCAAGCUAUCAGAGAGACUCCCUCAUCAACCCCACCAGAGAGGCCCCCUCACCCACCAAGCUAUCAGAGACUCCCUCAUCAACCCCACCAGAGAGGCCCCCUCACCCACCAAGCUAUCAGAGAGACUCCCUCAUCAACCCCACCAGAGAGGCCCCCUCACCCACCAAGCUAUCAGAGAGACUCCCUCAUCAACCCCACCAGAGAGGCCCCCUCACCCACCAAGCUAUCAGAGAGACUCCCUCAUCAACCCCACCAGAGAGGCCCCCUCACCCACCAAGCUAUCAGAGACUCCCUCAUCAACCCCACCAGAGAGGCCCCCUCACUGACCCCCAGGAGUCAAGAACAAGAAGAUGGAUGAAGGCUGCAUUUCCCUCAGUAAUCUGUGGCAUCUCUCAUUUCCUACUCUUGGCAUCCUUGUUACUCUGCUGAUCAGUGCACACCCAGAGGGGUCUCACAUGUCCAUGUGCUGAACUCCCCACCAAUGUGAAGGAAACUUUCCUGCCCCAUCUCAUUAGUGUAGCUGACACAGUGUGAAGUUUAUCUAAUUAUCUUUAACUUAAUUUUCUCAUUUCUUCCUGUACCACUGGGUUUUACAGUUUUUUUUUUUUCAAAAUGGGAGUGAUUCACAGAAUGGUGAUACCUUCAGUUACUAAUUAAUACACUAAGAAACUUAAAAACAUUCCUUUCUGAGAAAAAAAAAGGGGGGGGGCUUAACUUCAUUAGCCAAAGCCUGUUGUCUUUAAAAGUCCAGAGGUGAAGUCCUGGUCAGUCCCUAGCCAAGCUGCCACACUAUUAGAGUCUCUUGCUGAGUGCUGGGGGCACAUGACUUUAAUCCCAGGAGGCACAGGAAAGUGGAUUUCUUGUGUGUUUGAGGCCAACCUAGUCUAGAGAGAGAAGUUCAGGGUAAGCCAGGGAUACUCAGAGAAACCCAAGAGUCAUGGCAGACUGCCCAGGGGAAUCCUGUCCUAGAGACAAGGCGAACUUGAUAAACUCCAAAUGUACCAUUGCAUACAUUCACUAAGAGGUUAACCCUGUAACACAUAUGGAGCCACAGAGCCAUGUCGCUCUGCAAUUCCACUCACGCAUACAAGAGCCUCAACCAAGCAGCCUGACAAUACUUCCUUUACCCUCAUUUCUUCAGCUUAUUUUAUACUGAGAAACCAUGCAUUGUCUCCUACCUGCUUUCCGGACUAAAAUGUUAACUAACCACAAUUUUAGAUUUUUAGCACAUUUUAGAGCAUUUAUCUGCCAGCAACCCUAAGUGGGACUUUUUUUAAUGUAGCUAUUUCCACUUAAUUGAAACAUUCCCUUCUGAAAGACAAAGAGAGAUGGAGAGGACCCAGGAAACUGAGAAAGCCUGCAGGGCUCCGGAGGCUCAUUAAGCUGGGAAAAUGAGGAUAUUGACAAGACCCCUCCCCAAAAUUAAGCAAACAGUAAACAGUUGCUGGCGGACAGGAGACUAUGUGAUUGAACAACUUUCAAGUUGGGCAAGUAUACAGUUUUCAUAAGUUGUUGUCGAUGCUGGGGUGGACUGUUCAGGGACACAGCUGUCUUUGAGUCACUAUGUUCCUGUAAGUGACCUCAGGAAGCUCACUAGCCCACCCAGAUACACUUGGGUGGAAUGGUCUCUUUAUUCAGUCGACAGUGUCCCAUUGAGGUGAAGAUCUGUUCAUGUCUCUCCAGGAAAAGUUGUAUAAUAAGGUCCUACAUAGGAACUACAGUUUCAAGGACCCCAGAACACAUACCACCCAAAUCCUGUGCUUUGGGGAUCACAGGACAUUUUUUU